CAUUUUAAAAGCAUGUUAGAUUUUAAAGUCUACCAAAUUCACUAAACCGGAAUUUUUAAUAUUUAGUUAAUAUCACAGAGAAUUGUAUCACAUCACGUGAAUAAAAGUAUGUGUUAUAGAGUUAUUAUCUCUCCAGGGAAGAGCAGGCGUGAAUUCUAAAGCUUAUUAGUAUUCCACGAGCUAUUUUAUCCGGUUAUCAGUACGACGUUACGUAUACUCAAGAAGCCACGUAGGCAAAAUCGGUGGAAUAAAAGCAACCACUGUAAUACUGCUGUGUAUUGCCUUAGGGUCAAUAACUAUAUGCAAAUUUUAUCAUUGCACAUAGUACUUUAUUCCUUAGGGACUUGCAGGGCAAGAUUGUGUAAUGCGUUUUCUUUAGACUUCAACUCCAGGAUUCAUAUGAGAUAAGAGAGCUUUUACUACCGUGAGAGUACUUUUAAAUGAUGUCACCAAACAAAUGUGAAAUUGUUCGAGGAAUGGUUAUAAUCAAGCGUUGAAAAAGGAAUAUUAAAAAAAAGAAUGUAAAAAUUAUGAAGCUGUUUAUGAUAUGGCGUGAAUAUUACCAUCUAUCAAACAAUUAACCGACCAUGGUCACACUUAUCAUUAAUAAAUUUAACAGAUAUUUUUAUUGUACUAUAAACAUUGUAAUUAUUUGACUGAUUACACCCCACUAAUACUACCACGAUGUCAAAUUUUUAUGUUCAUGAGUUGUAUUUAGUUAUAAGUAUAAUAAACAUUUUAUACAAGUCAUAAAAAAUAAUUUUAUCAGUUUUAAGUAUCAUUAGUUUUUUAAUUCACAAUCUAAUGACUCCACAUUAUCAGUAUGGUAAAAUUGAAGUUAUUUGUUGACAUUGUAUUAAAUAUAAACACCAUAAAGGAAAACAUUCUUGGUCUAUACAAGACUCAUUAAAAAAAUUAAAUAGUCUAAUUAAGAAUGAUUAUAAGUGUACAUUAUUACAGUUAUUAACUCUUAUUACUUUUAAGAUUUUUCUGUUAUUUUAAUACAUUUUUUACUACACACACAAAAUUUAUAACUAUAUCAAUAGGGUUUAAUAUUUGUUUUUUAUUGUAUUUUAAACGGACGUCCGUUAUAAGUUUAUCGGCAUUUUACUUGUUUUUUUUUUAACUUUUACGACAAAACUCCCACAAAAAUGUACUUAUUCAUAAUGUCAAAACAAACACUUGUGUAUCUGAUUGUUUUUAUUGUUGAGGUGAUGUGCUAUUAAAAAUUUUACGACUUCUGUAAUUUUCAAAAUAAAAAGGACGACAUAAACAAAGAAUACUGUAUGUUACAUACUGCGGUCAAAUAAUUUUUAUUUUGUAUCAAUAAUAAUGCUAAACACAUUCAUAAACAUUUUUAAUUUUGGCUACCAAUAAAUACAAUUUAUAUUGUUUUGUAUUUUUUUCUUUCAUCAAUAAACAUGUUCAAGAAUCCUAA